rnacentral:piRNA from 1 species
UCCCUGGAUUAGAGGGAAUGUCAGCCAUGCC